ACCCAGCAUGCUCAGUUGGUAAAGCAUAGGACUCUUGAUCUCAGGAUUGUGGGUGGGUUUGAAUCCCACACACUGGGUG